rnacentral:tRNA from 1 species
GGCGGGGUGCCGGAGCGGUCGAACGGGGCGGUCUUGAAAACCGUUGAGGGCUUGCGCCCUCCCUGGGUUCGAAUCCCAGCCCCGCCG